GGAAUUUUCCGCAAUGGGCGAAAGCCUGACGGAGCAACGCCGCGUGAGGGAUGAAGGCCUCUGGGCUGUAAACCUCUUUUAUCAAGGAAGAAGAUCUGACGGUACUUGAUGAAUAAGCCACGGCUAAUUCCGUGCCAGCAGCCGCGGUAAUACGGGAGUGGCAAGCGUUAUCCGGAAUUAUUGGGCGUAAAGCGUCCGCAGGCGGUCUGUCAAGUCUGCUGUUAAAGCGUGGAGCUUAACUCCAUUUCGGCAGUGGAAACUGGCAGACUAGAGUGUGGUAGGGGCAGAGGGAAUUCCCGGUGUAGCGGUGAAAUGCGUAGAUAUCGGGAAGAACACCAGUGGCGAAGGCGCUCUGCUGGGCCAUAACUGACGCUCAUGGACGAAAGCCAGGGGAGCGAAAGGGAUUAGAUACCCCUGUAGUC
rnacentral:rRNA from 1 species